ensembl:lincRNA
GUGAAUGUUGGAUGUGUAAAGAAAUGAUAUUGCAGAACAAGAGUAUGACUCACUCAUGGUCAAGCAAAACAGAAACUAAGAUCUGUGGCCACCUCGCUUCUAGGGUAGACGAAGGUCUUCAAGAACUUUGCCAGCCAAAGCCCCAGCAUCAUCUCAGCGAUGGCAGCUCCCCACACUGGCUGUCACCCAGAGGUCUCUGCCUCCUGAAUUGCCGUGGAGCUUUCUGCCACAGCCUGUCCAAACUCUCUCAGCAUCUUUAUCCAAGAGGCUGACUGGGUCCCAUUUCUCCAGCAAAGUCACAGACAGCAACAGUUAUCGUUAUUUCUUGGUAGACAUGAUCAGGAAUUGAAUCGCUGGCUGACCGCACAAAUAAGUGAGCCAGAGCCUCCUGAAAGUUUGUGCUCUCUGCACUCUUACAUCACCGAAAUCUCCCUUUCUUGCUCUUCCAUUCAGCUGUGACAACAUCCUGAAGUCCUGGCAUAUUCCCCUGUCCUGAAACCACAGAGAACAAACUCUCACAAUGAAAAAAGGACACACUUGCAGCCCAAGGUCGAGGGUGUUGAAUUACAAAGUCAUUUUGGAUAAAGGAGAAACUUGUAUUCACAGGCUCGGAAAAGGAGAGCACAGGGGUAGUGAUAAGGAAUUCGGACAGAGAGGAACCCCAUACUCCGGCUCAGGUACCCAAACCCACAGAACAUGUGAGCCUGUCUAGACACAGGACAGGCAUGCUGCUGAUCUACCCACCCCAGGGGGCACAAGCUCACUGCAAACGAUUCUGCAGGUUCAUCAGCUGACCGAUGAGCAACAGCACCUGGCGGAGUAAUAGUAAGUCAGCUUGUCGAGCAAAGAUGUGUGAAGCACCUGGGAUGUGCUGUGCACUGGGGAUUAAGAGACAACUGAGACCACCCUGUUUUCUAGGAUUUCUUGAUCAAAUUGGGAAGCGAGGUAGGCAUUUAAAAAUAAAAUGAUGACGAACACUUUCAGGGCACUAACAGUGAAGCUUAAAUGUGCUGAUUUGUCUUAGGGUUUUUGAGCACAUAAUGAGAAAGGUACCAUUAUAUCCCUGUAUUUAUUAUUUUUCUCACUGGAACAGAAUGCCUGACACCUGCAAUUCAAAGGAGGAGAGCUCUAUUUGGGCUCGAAUUUAGUGGAUUCGGUCUAUGGUCAGCUGACUCCAAGAGAAAAACAGCAUAGCAAAGGAUAGCUAUUUGCUGCAUGGCAUCUAGGAAGCAACGAGACAGCAGGGAGGAGCUGGAAGAAUAAACACUUCCGGGUCACCACCUCCCAGUGUUCCACCUGCUCUGACCAGGCCCCGCCUGAGAAUAAGCACAAUCAGCCGUGAACUCAUCAGGAAACGAAUCCACGGAGGAAUACAGUGUCCCCGCAGCUCAGUCACCUUCUAAAAGUCCCAACUCUGAGCACAGCCUUUGGGGGGACAUUAUAGAUCUAAGCUAUAGGAACCCCCUCUUUUGGAGAAGAUGAAAUGGGCUCACGAGGAGGUGACUUGUCCCUGCUGCUGAUAUUGGUCGGGCGGGGAGCUAAAAGCCGGCAGCAGAAACAGUGGCUCAGAAGGGCUGGGGAAUGCAUGGUUGCGGAUUCGGCUUGAACUUUGGGGCAGAGGGAAUGGCCAGGUGCAGAGUAAUAUGGGGUUAAACUGCAGAGGGCCUCUGGCCAGCUGAGUCUGGACUGCAGGGGCUAAGCUGUCGAAAGCCAUUGAACAGGGCAGGGACCAGGCAAGGUUUGCUUUAAGAAAGAGACAGGCAGCAGAGGGUCUGGGUGGAAGGGAGAGGAUGUGGGUUCUGAUAUCAUGCUGAUUUAAUGUAAAAAAAUGUUUGAAGCGGGAGAGUUAGUGGCAAUGGAAAAGAAAAGAGGGGUUGGGCGGAUUCAAAAGACAGGAAGUUUACAGAAGUUAGGGAUGAACGGAAAGCUGGAGAGUUUUGUGUCUUGUAGGUCAACUGAGUGAAUAUCCAACAGUACUUCUGCAGAUCUGAGGGAAGGGAAUCAGUCAAGCAAAUGAAGGGAGUGUAAGAUAAGACGUUCCCUUCUCAGCUUAGGACUUUUCUAGGCAUCAGGCACAAAGGAGCAAACCCCAAGUCCUAGCGGAAGGCAUCAGUCUGACUUUUCCAAGUAGCUGCCCUAUACCCUCUGAAAUAAGACCUAGCCAGAAAAUAAACCCUAGCAUGAUUUUUUUCAUGAUGCUCAUAAUAUAAGCCCUACCCCCAAAAUGAGCCCCAGUUAAGAUUCUCAGCAAGACAGAGGC